rnacentral:lncRNA from 1 species
UAACAUACUAAAUAAUCUAGGGUCGAAAUUAGAGAGAGGAAUGUGAUAUAUAAUUCUACACAAGGUUUUACCUUCCAGGUUUUUCUGAAAAAUCUGAUCCUAUGUAUACCAAGCCCCAAGACAAGCAGUGAAGUCAGGUUAGUGUUGGAGGUUAGCUUCGGUUCUUUCUAACAAGCUAGCAAGUGUGUAUAGUUGACUGGUUGAUCCACUUUAGGAUCUAUAGUAUUAUCUGCAGUCAGUAAAUCUAGAAUGGUGCUAGAAAGUGGUUAGACAUUCAAGUAGAAAUCAUUAGUUCAUAAUCUCCUUCUUGACUCAAUAAAAUUAUUUUUGAAAAUAUUUUUGACAGAAACUCAAGAAAGUGGUGUUAGUA